ACAUGUUAUUAAACUGUGUAUUUGGCAAGCGAAAAUUGGAAGCGGGAUUAAAAGAAUAGUUAUCAAAACUAUUAAAGUAUCUGUUGUUUAAUGAGUAUCUUAAAGACAAUAUUAAUCCAAUUGCUGAUAACAUAUUGAGAUGGCAAGAAUCAUGGUUGCUGCAGAGAACAGACCACAAGAAAAAUUGACGGUGUUGGGUACAGGUGACUUUAGUCGUGCACUAACGAAGCGACUAUCUUUGGCUGGUUAUGACGUCAUUAUGGGAAGCCGGAAUCCUGAAAGAAGUCGAAGAUUGCCACAUCUGUCAUCGUUCAGCAUUGCAUCCAUAAAUGAUGCUUUAGAGCAUUCUGGCAUCAUCUUUUUUGCUAUUCCCAUGCAUGGAUAUGAUAGCUUGGUGGCAUCAUCGGGCAGCCAACUAAAUGGAAAGAUUGUUGUCGACGUAAGCAAUCAAACGCAGACCUCUUUCAGAGGAUUAUCAAAUGCUGAGUACCUAUCCAGUCUAAUACCUAAGGCUCACGUUGUGAAAGGCUUCAAUGUGAUAUCUGCAUGGGCAUUGGAACAAGAUAUUUAUGGAGGAAGUCGG